rnacentral:rRNA from 1 species
CCUGAGAAACGGCUACCACAUCCAAGGAAGGCAGCAGGCACGCAAAUUACCCACUCCCGGCACGGGGAGGUAGUGACAAAAAAUAACGAUACGGGACUCAUCCGAGGCCCCGUAAUCGGAAUGAGUACACUUUAAACCCUUUAACCAGGAUCUAUUGGAGGGCAAGUCUGGUGCCAGCAGCCGCGGUAACUCCAGCUCCAAUAGCGUAUAUUAAAGUUGUUGCGGUUAAAAAGCUCGUAGUUGGUUUUGUGUCCCACGCUGUUGGUUCACUGCCUGUCGGUGCAACUGGCAUGUCGUGGGAUGUCCUGUCGGUGGCGUCCGGGGUCUUCGGACAAGUGCCCUCGGGUGCUUUCCGUCGUUCUUCCGGUCGCCGACUCAAUCCUGCCGGUGCUCUUCACUGAGUGUCGAGGUAGGCCGACACGUUUACUUUGAACAAAUUAGAGUGCUUAAAGCAGGCUGAAUCCAGCCAGAAUAGUGGUGCAUGGAAUAAUAGAACAGGACCUUGGUUCUAUUCUGUUGGUUUUCGGAAUCCAAGGUAAUGAUCAAUAAGGACAGACGGGGGCAUUCGUAUUGCGACGUUAGAGGUGAAAUUCUUGGACCGUCGCAAGACGUACUAAAGCGAAAGCAUUUGCCAAGAAUGUCUUAAUUGAUCAAGAACGAAAGUUAGAGGUUCGAAGGCGAUCAGAUACCGCCCUAGUUCUAACCAUAAACGAUGUCAGCCAGCGAUCCGCCGACGUUCAUUGAAUGGCUCGGCGGGCAGCUUCCCGGAAACGAAAGCUUUCGGGUUCCGGGGGAAGUAUGGUUGCAAAGCUGAAACUUAAAGGAAUUGACGGAAGGGCACCACCAGGAGUGGAGCCUGCGGCUUAAUUUGACUCAACACGGGAAACCUCACCAGGCCCGGACAUUGGAAGGAUUGACAGAUUGAUAGCUCUUUCUUGAUUCAGUGGGUAGUGGUGCAUGGCCGUUCUUAGUUGGUGGAACGAUUUGUCUGGUUAAUUCCGAUAACGAACGAGACUC